rnacentral:rRNA from 1 species
AGAGUUUGAUCCUGGCUCAGAUUGAACGCUGGCGGCAGGCCUAACACAUGCAAGUCGAGCGGUAGAGAGAAGCUUGCUUCUCUUGAGAGCGGCGGACGGGUGAGUAAUGCCUAGGAAUCUGCCUGGUAGUGGGGGAUAACGUUCGGAAACGGACGCUAAUACCGCAUACGUCCUACGGGAGAAAGCAGGGGACCUUCGGGCCUUGCGCUAUCAGAUGAGCCUAGGUCGGAUUAGCUAGUUGGUGAGGUAAUGGCUCACCAAGGCAACGAUCCGUAACUGGUCUGAGAGGAUGAUCAGUCACACUGGAACUGAGACACGGUCCAGACUCCUACGGGAGGCAGCAGUGGGGAAUAUUGGACAAUGGGCGAAAGCCUGAUCCAGCCAUGCCGCGUGUGUGAAGAAGGUCUUCGGAUUGUAAAGCACUUUAAGUUGGGAGGAAGAGCAGUUACCUAACACGUGAUUGUUUUGACGUUACCGACAGAAUAAGCACCGGCUAACUCUGUGCCAGCAGCCGCGGUAAUACAGAGGGUGC